rnacentral:lncRNA from 1 species
UACAGGGGAAUCCGGCUCCUGGUAUUUUUGGAUACCUACGAACGGGCUUCUGGCGACUUGUUCCAGCUGCCAAACAUACCACAGGAAUUGAAAAACUUGGCUACCGGGAAUUAUUCUCUCUUCCACUUCUUCUACGUUAAGGGUAUGCUGACGGGUCACUGCACCCCAUGCGCGGUCGCCACGAAGCUUUCCAGCAUUCAGAUCUACGGUAUUAACCGGCAUCCAACAGCCAUUGACAUCAACGGACGCCCGCUCAACUUCAGUGUCUCUGG